CACAAUUGAUCUAUAAGAGGAUAUUGUUAUCACAUAUCAAUAUAGUGAAUUCAAAAUAUUCAAGUUACAUCACAGAAUGACAAUCAUAUACAUUAAGCUCACUGACUACAACAAUCAUUUCAUAACUAAAGAAAUAGUCAAAAGCUACAAGUACUUGCUUGUGAGCAAUGGAAUAUCAAGAUAUUCCUCUAUGUUCUGAGGGGGAAUGAGCGACUGUGAUUGAUUU
rnacentral:lncRNA from 1 species